GUAAACAUGGCCCAUAUUCCUGAUAUGUGAAGAGAUUUUGGAAGAUCCCGUUUCCCAAAGUGCCUAAGUAAGAGGACUUCAUCAAGAUGGAUAUAUUAGACCCUCCAGAAUGUGGCAUCCCCAACACUAACUUCACCUGAGGGACAGCAGGGGGUUAGGAGAUUGGGCUCUGGAAUUCCUUAUCAGACAUGGCUCCACCAACUGGGUCCAGGCCCCAGGACUGUGCCAUAGAUAAGCCUCAUAGCUAAGGUACUAUGUAGCUUUUUUCCAAGUUUCACCUUUGGGAUAGAUGUAGGGAUAUUUAGUUUUAUGAUACUGAAAACCCCAUCUUCAUUUUAGAUGGAUAUUUUAUUUCUACUAUAAUUUGACCAUAUCUUUUCUCUGACAGUGAAAUGACAUUACUCCUAUGUGAGAGAACAUGAAACUAGAUUUUUCAGAUUCAAAAGGAGUUUCAUUGCUGCACUUACUUGAAACAACCAAAUAUUUUCACUGGCAUCUGGGAGUAUAGCCAACAAACACAAGUGGUCAUUUUCUUUAUGAGCAGGAUGAGGGGAUUUGAGUAUGACUAUUUCUCAGGUUCUUUAUAGUUUUAAUUUACAAAGACUCUUUAACCUUAAUUCUUAAGGAAGAUGGAACUAUAUUGAUCCAAAAUUCAAUAUAAACACUUGAUUUUUCAGCCAUGUAACAUUAGAAUUAGAAGGAAUUUAGGAAGUAUGUAUGAUAAUUCUUUUAUUUCACAGGCAAAGAAAAGGAGGAUUGAAAGGAAAUGACCUGUUCAAGAUAACACAUCAAAUGAGUUCAGAGACGACCUUGGAUUUGGGGCCUGUGACUCUAUUCUGCUGACCUUCCAUGGUCUCAGGGAAAACAGGCUGGAGGGAUACGUUUAAGGGACCAGCAGAGGGAACAUGCAGCCAUCAGAAUUGCCUUUUGUUUCUUCCAUCAGGUCUGAAGAUGUGCCUCCUUCCAAACCGUGAGCUAGACACAGUGGAUGUGGGUGUAAGUUUCCAAAUCUGCAGUUCAUUAGGCCCCUCCUUUGGUACAAUAUUAUUUUUAAAAAUCCCUGAUGGUUUGUUGUGA
rnacentral:lncRNA from 12 species